rnacentral:rRNA from 1 species
GAUGAACGCUGGCGGCGUGCCUAAUACAUGCAAGUCGAGCGAACGGACGAGAAGCUUGCUUCUCUGAUGUUAGCGGCGGACGGGUGAGUAACACGUGGAUAACCUACCUAUAAGACUGGGAUAACUUCGGGAAACCGGAGCUAAUACCGGAUAAUAUUUUGAACCGCAUGGUUCAAAAGUGAAAGACGGUCUUGCUGUCACUUAUAGAUGGAUCCGCGCUGCAUUAGCUAGUUGGUAAGGUAACGGCUUACCAAGGCAACGAUACAUAGCCGACCUGAGAGGGGGAUCGGCCACACUGGAACUGAGACACGGUCCAGACUCCUACGGGAGGCAGCAGUAGGGAAUCUUCCGCAAUGGGCGAAAGCCUGACGGAGCAACGCCGCGUGAGUGAUGAAGGUCUUCGGAUCGUAAAACUCUGUUAUUAGGGAAGAACAUAUGUGUAAGUAACUGUGCACAUCUUGACGGUACCUAAUCAGAAAGCCACGGCUAACUACGUG